CAUAAUUUAUCUUUUCAGAGAGAAGAAAACUGACUUUAAAAGAAAACUGGUGAGAUUAAAUCAUAUGAAAUGUAUGAUGAAUCAGGAUGUAAUCAUUUGAGGCAUUCACCAAUGUCAUUACUAAUGACAAACAGGAGAAACGGAGACGGGAGAAUGGAAAGACUGAUCUUCUCAGACAGCAGUCAAAAAAGCAAAAGAAAGCGUUCAGUAAAAACUGGAAAGAAGAAAGAAGGCUGUGGAACAUCUUAAGUUAUCUACAUGAGUCAUUGCCCCAACAUCUAAAAAGAACUUGACGGAGUGCCUUCAAUUGGACAUAACUUCACCCGAGAAGACUGAUGACAAAAACUCAACAAAGAGGGUCAGGCUUCCAUUUCCCUGGAAAUCAGCCAAACUGUGCAAGGGAAAAGAGGCACUGGACAAGGCAUAUAGACACAAGGUCCUGAAGACCGAAUCUGCAGAUGCCAGUUGGUAUUUGUAAAGGAUGGUAGAGAGGACACAACAACACCUCCCACUGAGAAGUGUCCCCUUUAGGCCAUUUCCAGGGAUUAUUCCUCAUAGAGGUCAAACGAGGAUUCAGCUAUCAAAAGAAAACAAGAAAAAGAACUUUUUUAGUUCUUUGAUUAGGGAUUUCCAGAUCUAAAUAUUGAUAGUUGUUUUGGUUUUUUUUAAUGUACCUGUAAUCAACAGUUCAGGGUAUAUAGUUUUUGCAUUGUUGGUCUGUCUGUCUUCAAAAGUGUAAACCAGGCCUAAAGCUUUUGAGUGAUGGGGCAACUGAUUUCACAGACGUAUUUUUAGUGACCAGACUUGUUUACCUCUUUACAUGGACCUUUGAGUUUCAACCACUUUUAACAAAAAAAUUAAACUGUAUUCUUGGCCACAACUUUCAAAUAGUUGAUGCUUAUUGCAUUCCAUUUGACAAGACUUUCAACAGGUAUAAAUAUUUUUUGACAUUGACCUUCAAGUUGGACUUUUAAAAUAUUUUAACCUUGGACAGAACUUUUAAAAGUACUAAGGCUUUCAUUUCAACAGUGAAAAAACCUUUCUCUCGAUACCAACAUUUUUUACCUUGACCUUU